rnacentral:rRNA from 1 species
UACGGGGGGGGCAAGCGUUGUUCGGAAUUACUGGGCGUAAAGGGCUCGUAGGCGGCCAACUAAGUCAGACGUGAAAUCCCUCGGCUUAACCGGGGAACUGCAUCUGAUACUGGAUGGCUUGAGAUUGGGAGAGGGAUGCGGAAUUCCAGGUGUAGCGGUGAAAUGCGUAGAUAUCGGGAGGAACACCGGUGGCGAAGGCGGCGACCUGGGUCGAGACUGACGCUGAGGCGCGAAAGCGUGGGGAGCAAACAGG